UACGAAGGGGGCUAGCGUUGUUCGGAAUUACUGGGCGUAAAGCGCACGUAGGCGGAUUGUUAAGUCAGGGGUGAAAUCCUGGAGCUCAACUCCAGAACUGCCCUUGAUACUGGCAAUCUUGAGUCCGGAAGAGGUAAGUGGAACUGCGAGUGUAGAGGUGAAAUUCGUAGAUAUUCGCAAGGACACCAGUGGCGAAGGCGGCUUACUGGUCCGGUACUGACGCUGAGGUGCGAAAGCGUGGGGAGCAAACAGG
rnacentral:rRNA from 1 species